rnacentral:rRNA from 1 species
AUGUUGCGGCAUCGCACCGCAACUAACCAUCAACGCCAUCGUGCUGCCAACAGCGCCCACCUUGCGCCGUCUUGCCGUGGACGACGCUGUCGCGGCGCCGAGUACCACGACCUCUUGCCGCACGCAGCGGCCAUGUCUUCACAUGGACGACGCCUUCGCGGCGCCGAUCGCCACGCCGUCUUCUCCUCAUAA